rnacentral:rRNA from 1 species
GACGAACGCUGGCGGCGUGCCUAAUACAUGCAAGUCGAACGCAUUUUCUUUCACCGUAGCUUGCUACACCGAAAGAAAAUGAGUGGCGAACGGGUGAGUAACACGUGGGUAACCUGCCCAUCAGCGGGGGAUAACACUUGGAAACAGGUGCUAAUACCGCAUAAUUCCAUUUACCGCAUGGUAGAUGGAUGAAAGGCGCUUUUGCGUCACUGAUGGAUGGACCCGCGGUGCAUUAGCUAGUUGGUGGGGUAACGGCCUACCAAGGCUGCGAUGCAUAGCCGACCUGAGAGGGUGAUCGGCCACACUGGGACUGAGACACGGCCCAGACUCCUACGGGAGGCAGCAGUAGGGAAUCUUCGGCAAUGGACGCAAGUCUGACCGAGCAACGCCGCGUGAGUGAAGAAGGUUUUCGGAUCGUAAAACUCUGUUGUUAGAGAAGAACAAGGAUGAGAGUGGAAAGUUCAUCCCUUGACGGUAGCUAACCAGAAAGCCACGGCUAACUACGUG